CCCUUAGAUGUUCUGGGCCGCACACGCGCUACACUGAAGGAGGCAGCGUGUACUCCUGGAUCGAAAGAUUUGGGUAACCCGCGAAUCUCCUUCGUGCUAGGGAUUGAGGUUUGCAAUUAUCCUUCAUGAACGAGGAAUUCCCAGUAAGUGCAAGUCAUAAGCUUGCGCUGACUACGUCCCUGCCCUUUGUACACACCGCCCGUCGCUACUACCGAUUGAAUGAUUUAGUGAGGACUUCGGACUGGGACCGAUGCGGCUUUCGGGCUGCGUCGGUAUUCUGGAAAGAUGUCCAAACUGUAUCAUUUAGAGGAAAUAAAAGUCGUAACA
rnacentral:rRNA from 1 species